AAUGCGCCAGACUUGGGCAGAAGGCGGCUCCUGCUUCUGGCUGUGCCCAGCCACCCGCAGCCCUGGCCGGCACCUGAUGAGCCCCAGGGCUCGCCGCGGACGCUGUGAUGACGGAGGGCUCGACUGCUCUGUGGACCGUCCUCUCCGGUACCCCAGACUUCCAGCAAGUCUCACUUAGGAGGCACCUCAGCAUCUUCACCAUCUGGGAAAAAUCCCUGGAGAUGAGAAAUGCUUGUGCGUGUUGUAUCUGGUGGUCUAGUAUUGUGGAAGAGACAUUUGCCUCUGACCUUUUGGGGGACAAAAAUACACGUAUUAAUUUUAUAAUUGGGAGAAGAACAAAGAAGUCAACAGCUCUCUGUAUCUGAAUUAGUAAUGUACAUAUUUAUGCGGUAAAUAAUCACUAUGAGAAAUUAUUGGUAUAAUCUGUUUUGCAUUCUCAGGUUGCCUAAUUUAUUUCUCGAGUCCAAACACUGGCUAAAGGAUACUUUCGGCAGACUGAAUCUUUGUAAGUUUUGGAAAAACACAUUUAAGUUGACAAAUGAAGACUGACAUUUUGCUAUGCUUUAAUAGGCUGAACACCAAGCAAAUCUUUUUCCUUUAUUUGUUCAUUUUGCAAUAAGUCUUGACAUCACCUUCUCCUCUUUCUUAAAUUUGCUUACUUAGCAGGGCACAAUGCAGUUUUGAUGUACAAUCUGAUUUCAAAAGAAUCUUUGAGACAGCUAAUCUGUACACUCACUGUAAUAAAAUAUUACAGCACAAACGGUAUAUAAGAUACUCACUUUCUUGAGAACCUCUUAGCACCAACGAGCAAUGACAUUAAAAAAGUAUAGAUUUUCA